rnacentral:lncRNA from 1 species
AUGCCGGAAUCUCCCGCCUAUCUAGCGCUGCCAGAGCCUUCCUCCUCUACAGUGCUGCCGGAGUCUCCCGCCUGUUCAGCGCAGUCAGAGCCUUCCUCCUCUACAGCGCUGCCGGAGUCUCCCGCCUGUUUAGCGCUGCCAGAGCCUUCCUCCUCUACAGCGCUGCCGGAGUCUCCCGCCUGUUCAGCGCAGUCAGAGCCUUCCUCCUCUCCAGCGCUGUCGGAGUCUCCCGCCUGUUUAGCGCUGCCAGAGCCUUCCGCCUCUACAGCGCUGCCGGAGUCUCCCGCCUGUUCAACGCUGCCAGUCUGCAAGGAGCAGCCAGAGCUGCCAGUCUGCAAGGAGCUGCCAGUCUGCAAGGAGCUGCCAGUCUGCAAGGAGCCGCCAGAGCCGCCAGUCUGCAAGGAGCCGCCAGAGCCGCCAGUCUGCAAGGAGCCGCCAGGGCCGCCAGUCUGCAAGGAGCCACCAAGGCCGCCAGUCUGCAAGGAGCAGCCAGAGCCGCCAGUCAGCAUGGAGCAGCCAGAGCCGCCAGUCAGCAUGGAGCAGCCAGAGCCGCCAGUCAGCAUGGAGCAGCCAGAGCCGCCAGUCAGCAUGGAGCAGCCAGAGCCGCCAGUCAGCAUGGAGCAGCCAGAGCCGCCAGUCAGCAUGGAGCAGCCAGAGCCGCCAGUCUGCCAGGAUCCGCCAGUCAGCCAGGAUCUUCCAGAUCCGCCAUUCAGCAAGGAUCCACCAUUCAGCCAGGAUCCGCCAGUCAGCCAGGAUCCGCCAGUCAGCCAGGAUCUUCCAGAUCCGCCAGUCAGCCAGGAACCACCAGUCAGCCAGGAUCCGCCAGUCAGCCAGGAUCUGCCGGAACCGCCUGUCAGCCAGGAUCUGCCAGAACCGCCAGCCAGCCAGGAUCUGCCAGAGCCAACUACCUGCCUGAGCUUCCUCUCAGUACUGGGCUUCCUCUCAGUACUGGGCUUCCUCUCAGUGCCGAGCUACCCCUCAGUCCCGAGCUGCCCCUCAGUCCCGAGCUGCCCCUCAGUCCCGAGCUGCCCCUCAGUCCAGUGGGGCCCUUGGUGA